rnacentral:rRNA from 1 species
UACGUAGGGGGCAAGCGUUGUCCGGAUUUAUUGGGCGUAAAGAGCGUGUAGGCGGCCUGGUAGGUCAGCUGUGAAAACUCGAGGCUCAACCUCGAGACGCCGGUUGAAACCAUCUGGCUAGAGUCCGGAAGAGGAGAGUGGAAUUCCCGGUGUAGCGGUGAAAUGCGCAGAUAUCGGGAAGAACACCCGUGGCUAAGGCGGCUCUCUAGUACGGUACUGACGCUGAGACGCGAAAGCGUGGGGAGCGAACAGG